rnacentral:misc_RNA from 1 species
CUAGUCUUCGAGGCAUAUAUUGAACUGCGGUGUUAACGUGGAGGCAUACUUGUUCAUCAUAGUUUAGCCUCUAAAAUUAUCCGCUAAA